UUUAAUUGAAGAGUUUGAUCAUGGCUCAGAUUGAACGCUGGCGGCAGGCUUAACACAUGCAAGUCGAGCGGUAGCACAAGAGAGCUUG
rnacentral:rRNA from 1 species